GAUGAACGCUGGCGGCGUGCCUAAUACAUGCAAGUCGAGCGAACGGACGAGAAGCUUGCUUCUCUGAUGUUAGCGGCGGACGGGUGAGUAACACGUGGAUAACCUACCUAUAAGACUGGGAUAACCUCGGGAAACCGGAGCUAAUACCGGAUAAUAUUUUGAACCGCAUGGUUCAAAAGUGAAAGACGGUCUUGCUGUCACUUAUAGAUGGAUCCGCGCUGCAUUAGCUAGUUGGUAAGGUAACGGCUUACCAAGGCAACGAUGCAUAGCCGACCUGAGAGGGUGAUCGGCCACACUGGAACUGAGACACGGUCCAGACUCCUACGGGAGGCAGCAGUAGGGAAUCUUCCGCAAUGGGCGAAAGCCUGACGGAGCAACGCCGCGUGAGUGAUGAAGGUCUUCGGAUCGUAAAACUCUGUUAUUAGGGAAGAACAUAUGUGUAAGUAACAGUGCACAUCUUGACGGUACCUAAUCAGAAAGCCACGGCUAACUACGUG
rnacentral:rRNA from 1 species